UGAACCAGGCGCAGUGUGACCAGAACAGUAGGAGGGAAGGCCAGGCCUGGGUGGGAGGCCCCAGGAUGGGCGGGGGAAGGACUGAGGGCGAAGGCCAUCCCAACUCGCAGCAGAAAAAGCCUCCAGGCGGUCACGGGCUGCCCAUCUCGUGAGGCCAGAUGUGGGUCCUCCUGCAUAUCUGAAACAGCACAGAGCAUUGGGGCAGCCUCCAAACCUCCCCUAUAAGGAGCAGUUAAGGGAUCCAGAGGGCGUGGCCUGGAGCAGAGAGAAGGGAAGCAACAUGUGUGGGGCAUUCACAAGUGCAGGAUGCCUUCUCCGGGCUCCCAUGAUGAUCCAGACAGGUAGGCGUUUUCCUUCCCUUUUUGCAGAUUGUGAAAACAGCGUUCAAAAAAGACUCAUGGGCCGGGCGCGGUGGAUCACGCCUGUAAUCCCAGCACUUUGGGAGGCCAAGGCAGGCAGAUCACAAGGCCAGGAGUUGAAGACCAACCUGGCCAACAUGAUGAAACCCUGUCUCUACUAAAAAUACAAAAAUUAGCCGGACGUGAUGGUGGGCACCUGUAAUCCCAGCUACUCAGGAGGCUGAGGCAGGAGAAUCGCUUGAAACCGGAAGGCAGAGGUUGCAGUGAGCCGAGAUUGCGCCACUGCACUCCAGCCUGGUCAAUAAGAGUGAAACUCUGUCUCAAAAACAAACCAACCAACAAACCAAAAACUCUUGUAACCCUGGGGCCACCCAGCCACAAAGAGGCAGGGCUGGGACAGGCCCCUGCAAGUCUCCUCUGGAAGGCCAAAGGGCUGCUACUAGGAAGGGGUGGCAGACUCAUCCCAUGUGGCUUCAGAGGGCAGGACAUGGACAAAGGUUAUGGGAAGGGAGGGAAACUUUCCAAUAACCAGACUGCACAAGAGUGGAGUGGCCUGCCUCAGGAGGGGUAAGCUCAUGCAAAAGCUGGCUGUUGGGGACAUUGGGAGGGACUCUGAAGGUCACCACCACUCUGAAUCAAUGCUGUGUGGGAGGAUGCCAGGGUCCACUGGACCCAUGACGUGCCUUUAGCGUGGGAAGCAGGGAACCUCAACUUUGGAAAGAGUGAGGGCACAGUGAUGUCCAGCCACUCCCAGAAGCCGUCUGUUAAUAGAGCAACCCCUCGGGCGGUGUGCAAUCCUAAUGACCAGCCCCAGGACAUUGGAAACAGGGUCCUGCUGACCACAGUCUAGGAGACAGGGCUGCACACAGACGGAACCAAGCACACAAGACGAGAGAGGGUGUGUACCGCAGAAACCAAGGGCUCAUUUAUGUGCUGCGUUCUCAGUCUGCAAGGAGUCAGAAGAGAGGACAGUGAGGCCAGGAGAACUCAGGGAACACUCCUUGUUGUAAUCAUCACAGUUAUGUAACUCAUAUUACCAGCUGUUCUUUCGUGAGCAUUCUCUAUGUGCCAGGCUAAGUGUUUUGUAUGCACUGUAUGAUUUAAUCCUAGAACAACACUAUGAAGCAGGAGCUCUUAGUAUUCCCCUUUUACAGAUGAGGAGGCAGGCUCAGAGAGGUGAUGUAACUUGCCCAGAAUUAUAUAACUAGUGUGUGGCAGAGCCUGGACUCAAGCCCAGAUCUGUUGGACUCCAGACCCCGUGUAGAACCAUAAGGAACUGAUGCUGCUUCAAUUUCUGCACUGAUACGGAAAUCUCUCCGAGAUAUCAUGCCGUUGUUUUCUAUUGUUGCUAUAGCAUAUUAUCACAAGUUUAACACAUAUUUAUUGCACACUUCUGGAGGUCAGCAGUCUGACAUGUGGGUCUCACUGGGCUAAAAUCUCAGUGUGGGCAGGGCUGUGUUCCCCUCUGGAGGCUGCAGGGGAGAAUCCCUUUCCUUGCCUUUCCCAGCUUCUAGAGGCUGCCUGCAUUCCUUGGCUCCUGGCCCCUCCUCUGUCUGCAAAGCCACCAUUGUCAUGUCUCUCUAACCCUUUGUCCCAGUUCCCUCUGACCACAGCCAGGAAAGAUUAUCUGACUUUAAGGAUCCAUAGGAUUAGAUUGAGCCCACUUGGAUAAUUCAGGAUACUCUCCCCAUCUCAAAGUCCUUAAUCACAUCUGCAAAGUUCUUUUUGCCAAGUAAGGUAACAUGCACACCUGGCAGGGAUUAAGGUGUGGUCACCUUUGUGGGGGCCAUUAUCCUGCCAGCCAUAUAAAAAGGAGAGAAAAGAGGCCAGGCGCGGUGGCUCACACCUGUAAUCUCAGCACUUUGGAAGGCUGAGGCGGGCGGAUCACCUGAGGUCAGGAGUUCAAGACCAGCCUGGCCAACAUGGCAAAACCCCAUCUCUACUAAAAAUACAAAAAAAUUGGCUGGGUGUGGUGGCUCACGCCUGUAAUCCCAGCACUUUGGGAGGCCAAGGCGGGUGGAUCACAAGGUCAGGAGAUCGAGACCAUCCUGGUUAACACAGUGAAACCCCGUCUCUACUAAAAACAAACAAACAAAACUCUACUAAAAAAAAAAAAAAAAAGAGAGAGAGAGAGAAAAGAGCAAGGUGCCGAAUCAGUAGCAAGGUGCUUCUUCUGGUGUUAAAAAAUUCUUAAAUGGGGAGAAUAACAAUAUAUACUAGUAUUUGCAUAAUGAAGGAUACAUUAAGGAACCAGUAUUGGGGAAGAGCUAGCCUGAUGGGGACAAGACUGGAUGGAGAUUUUUGCUGUCGUUAUGCAAGUGUUCAAACACACGCAAAAGUAGAGAGAACAGUAUAAUGAAUCCCAUAUACUCAUCGCUCAGCAUCAACGAUUUUGCAUUCUUAUUGCAUUUUAUCUCUCCACUUUUUGGGAAGGGGACUGAACAAUUUAAAGCAAAUCCCAGACAUCAUAUCAUUCUACCCAUAAAAACUGCAGCGUGUAUCUCUAAGAGAUACGGUUUUCUCAGAAACAUAACCAUGGCCGGGCGCAGUGGCUC
rnacentral:lncRNA from 1 species